UUUUCUUUAAACCAAUGUUUACUCUUUUAAAAACUUAGCCUUAUACCAAAAUAUUGAGAUUAAACGGGUUUGUUGUACUAGUUGUAAUUUUUUAAAAUUACACAUAAGAAUAAAUAACUCAAGCAUUUAAAAAAGUGUAACGUAGCACCUGAAACCAUCAUUUGAGCAACAGUGUAACGAACACUGUAGAGACGACGAAGGUGCCUGAGGCUCCGACCGCCACCAGGGGGCGCAGUUGCCCGCCGUCCCGGGGAGCCCUCGGCGUUACCCCACCAGGGGGCGCCCUCCACGGCGCUGUGCCCCCUGGAGCCGCUGCCAGAGCUCGCACCGUCCGGCGUGCUUAGAGGUCCCGAGCUGAGUCCUGCGGCCCCACGCUAUCAGGGGUCCCGCGGGCAUGAGAACCCACCGGGGAGGUAAGGGCCCGGACCACGCGCGGGCAUCCUCCGGGAACACGGAGGAUUGUCAGAGCAGAGAGCGCCCCCGGGGAGGUGGUGAGACUGUGCGCGGUGGAAGGGCGGUCGGUGGCCUCCAGCCCAGCCUCUCGGGCCACUCGGAACAGCGCGUUCGGAAACAGGAAGCGGCGUUGGCUCAGGCACCGCCCUCGUCUGGCCGGCGCUGAGGGGAGUUGAGGAAGUACUUCCGGCGCGAGGGGCUGCACUUCCGGGGAGGACCUGCGAGGGCGGAAAAAGGCUCCCAGGUCACUCCGCCCGGAAGGGUUGUUGGGAGCAGCAGGGGCGCAGAGAGCAUUCCCCGCACCCAGGUCGACAGCGUCUUUGUGGCGGAGAUCCUCCUCAUUGUGGGGUGACCAGGAUGAAACGGAGCGGGCUUUGGGAUCCGGAGCCCGGCACUGAGGUCAUGCCUGGCUCGAGGGAGGGAUGGUUGGUCUGCACCCUGAAGCACCGUUGGUCCUCUUUCGUGUGUCCCACCUGGCCCAGGCAUCGGGUGCACACCUCAUCUUGAUUUUUCUUAUUAAUAUUUUAAGUGGUUUCGCUGCUUUACUUAAAACAUUUAUUUUCAAAGGAAGCUUUCUUCACCUAUAAAAUGGUAAUGAUGGCACCUGUAUCAACGGCUUGAUGUAUGGAACAAAUGAAGUAAUGAAAAAAAGUCCUUAAAACAGUGCCUGACACCCUGUGUUCAUUUACCGGAUCACAUUACCACUCUGUGUUUGCCAAGAUGGUGGAGGCUUCUUGUAAAGCUGCGCAAUACAUAGCCUGCUUAAGUGAUGA
rnacentral:lncRNA from 1 species